UAUUAACAAAACGCUCAAAGCACUGCAGAAGGUGUCCAAGUAUUAAAACACACAACGUCCUCUGCAAAUUUGAUGCAGCAGCGGAGAUCACUGGAAGUCAUAAUAACAUCAGGUGUAUUAGUCAAGAAUGACAAAGAAGGCCGUUAAACGAUUCAAACGCCUUUGCAUCUUGUCAUCUGGCCUCUGGAGUUGAGGGUGACAUAAACGGUAUACGGCUGCUAAAUGUCACGCAGGCUGAGGUGUCAGCGGAGCACAACUGAGAGCUCUGGAAUUCAAAUCAGGACCCUUGUUGCUGUGAUGUGCUGGGAGAAUCAUAGAAUCAUAGGAUGGCCUGGGUUGAAAAGGACCACAAUCAUCAUCUAGUUUCAACCUCCCUGCUAUGUGCAGGGUCACCAACCACCAGACCAAGCUGCCCAGAGCCACAUGCAGCCUGGGUGAACCCCUGCUCCAUCCCAAACCUGCGCAGGCUGCCACAGGUUUUCCUCUGCGCAAAGGCUCCUGAAAACAGGCUUUGUAUGGUACCCGUAAUUGAAGAGGAGAAAUCUGAGAUUUCUGCAGGCAUUUAAGGACAUAUGUAUAGGAUUUAGCAGUGCUAUUGAGUACUUAUAUUCAGGAGAGUGGCUUGGGAGGUCCUUAAGAACCUGAUCUGAUGCUCACCAAGGAAAUCUGUUGCUGGAAGGAGUGUUGAAAAUUAUGACUGCUUCAUAAAUUGCUAACGUGCUCGGAAGGCGCGGGCCCAGCUGCAGUGCACAUGAGUUCAGGCUCCUGCCCGGGCCUCAUGUUUCACCAUGACCUCAGUUUCCUGUGCUGAAUGGGAACCAACGCGAGCGAGCACUUGUAAAACUG
ensembl:lncRNA